GAAAAACCCAGUAGUCACCACCCCUCACCACCUCCGAUUUUUUAAUGCCACACCGCAUGGGAACCAUUUCUUGGUGUUGCCCCCCUUCCAGAGUCGGACUUCAUACCCUUGUGAUUGUUGACCAUUACUCGAAGCUCCCUAGUCUAAAUCGCUCUAUCUCAUUACUCUCCUUGUCCAAAAGACUCAAAACCAGAGUAACUUUACCAUCAUCAUCUUCAUCACUGGCCAACCCAUUGCAGUUUUCUUCGUCCUCUACGGUUGGUAUGAUUCUAUGUGUGCAGUAGUUCAGUUCCUGAUUAGUUGAGGUGCGCUGAAUGAGGAAUUGGGGGCUGCAUCUUCUGGUCUUGUCGGAGAGAAUGAUCUACUAAUUGUUGGCCCAGGUGUUCUUGGUCGCUUGGUCGCUAAGAAAUGGCGCCAGGUACUGUUUGGUCAACGAAAUCAUUUGGUUAUCGAAGGGUGCUUAUCCAUAAUUCUGGUUCAGUUCAUUAAUCUCAUAUUCAAUUCUGGAACUUUUAUUGAUGGAUUAUCAUAGUUUUUAAAGUCGACAAGUUUAAAUCAAUUUUGGGGUCUUUAAUUCCUUGCCUUGUAUGUUAAGGCCUGUAUGGGAAUUGUUUGAUUCUUUGGGGAUUGAUUUGCUUGAGAGUUGAGAGUGAAGGAGUGAAAGCAUGAAAAUUAUUAGAUUAAAAUAUUGAAUUCAAAAUUUUUCUUUUA
rnacentral:misc_RNA from 1 species